CAGCCAAUUGAAAGGUGAAGGUACAAUUAUCUCAUGCAUUUAGUCCAACUAAUGCACAUACUGUAUGGUAUUUGAAGUUGUCUUCCAGUAGAGCAGACGACAUAGUAGCAGCAAAGAUCAGCAUCUCUCACCUUCUGGGAUCAAUGCAGCUCGUGCAGCAGUCAGCAGAGGAGAGGCAGAAGUGGACCUGACAGACUGAACAUAACAAAGGAAUGUAUUUGGGAAGUUUCUGCCUCCAUCUUGAGUCGAAAGAAAUCUGAGGGGACCAACUUUCCUUGCAGCAGUCAAGCGCUGACAGCAAGCAGAGCGGUGUGACAAAAGGUGUAGCAGUAUAGGAGUUCUUGGGUGGUAUGGAUAUAAGCGGGCUGGACAUCUGUGGCUGUGUGAACCUCUGCAGCGGCUAGACGGCAGCAUGUGUCCACACUGGCUUGUAGAUUUACAUCGAAGCGCUGGCCUGCACUGGAUCUCGAAGCGGGAGUCCAUCUGACACCAGAGGAUGUUUGAUCGUUUGUGUCCAGCCUGUGCCCUGUUGGUAUGUUGGCCAUUUGGAAUACUUUCCACUGUGCAGACUGGGCGGCACAGAGGCUAUGAUAUUUUGUUAUUACUUUAAAUUUUAGACGAUAUAUUAAAGGCUAGAAAAACUGUACUAAUGCACAUAAUUUGUCUAUUUUGCUCUAUUUGAUACUAGUUCAUGUUAUUUUUAUUCCCAGAAUGAGAAUGUUUUUUUUACACCAAUAUAAUACUUUUGAAUUAGAUUUUUUUCAUUACAUUUUAAUAAUGUAUGUUUUUUCGUAACAGCCCACAUUAAGAAAUUUUAAUUAUUUUAAAAUAUCGAUGCUCGUCAAAAACUCAAUGUCAU